rnacentral:rRNA from 1 species
GUUUUUCGCUUCCCGAUGAGCCCGCGUCAGAUUAGCUAGUUGGUGAGAUAACGGCUCACCAAGGCAACGAUCUGUAACUGGUCUGAGAGGAUGACCAGUCACACUGGAACUGAGACACGGUCCAGACUCCUACGGGAGGCAGCAGUAGGGAAUAUUGCACAAUGGAGGAAACUCUGAUGCAGCGACGCCGCGUGAGUGAUGAAGGACUUCGGUUCGUAAAGCUCUGUCGCAUGGGAAUAAUAAAGUG